GACACCAUAUCUCAGAAGACAGUAGAGAUUGCAUCUCCUGCAAAUAUGGACAGGACUAUAGCACUCACUGGAAUGACCUCCUUUUCUGCUUGCGCUGCACCAGGUGUGAUUCAGGUGAAGUGGAGGUAAGUCCCUGCACCACGACCAGAAACACAGCGUGUCAGUGCGAAGAAGGCACCUUCCGGGAAGAAGAUUCUCCUGAGAUGUGCCGGAAGUGCCGUACAAGGUGUCCCAGAGGGAUGGUCAAGGUCGGUGAUUGUACACCCUGGAGUGACAUCGAAUGUGUCCACAAAGAAUCAGGUACAAAGCACACUGGGGAAGCCCCAGCUGUGGAGGAGACGGUGACCACCAGCCCAGGGACUCCUGCCUCUCCCUGUUCUCUCUCAGGCAUCAUCAUAGGAGUCGCAGUUGCAGCCGUAGUCUUGAUUGUGGCUGUGUUUGUUUGCAAGUCUUUACUGUGGAAGAAAGUCCUUCCUUACCUGAAAGGCAUCUGCUCAGGUAGGUGCUGGCUGAGGGCGGGGGCACAGGGCACUCUCUGCCCUGCCCCCUCCCACCCUAUUCCCA
rnacentral:sRNA from 1 species